AUGAGGAGAUGUGUGUUUCCUCGUCUUCGCUGUCAUUAUUUAUUGCAUCAACGAGGUGGCAGAGACAGUGGCCACUUGUUCCAUCUGCAUGAAUCCAUCAUUCGAUUCAUUUCUUUUUAUUUCAGCUUUGCAGAAGUGAAGAGGAAAAUCAGUGAAGUUAACUGUGAGGUAGCAGGGAACAGCGAAGGACAUAUGGGGGCCUUGAGUGACCCUCCAGGAGAGGGAGUGCUGCUGAUUAAUGAUGCUUUUUGUUGGGUCUCUGGUGGGAUGGAGGCACAGGAACCGGGCUGGAGCACAUCUGGAGAGCUGGUGGUGCGAGAGCAUUGGUGCCCAAGCUUCUGCAAUUGAGCAGUUGUGAUGGCAGUAAGAGAGCAGCAAUACACUGACAUCAGAGCAUCGCUGGGGCACAGGUGAGUGGUGGACUCAGUUAUCACUGGAAGUUGUUUGGUUCUUUUCUUUAAUUUCUCCCAUUGUUUUUAGAUAUUUGGGCAUGUCAGGCUUGCUUCAGUUCGGUCAGACUAAGGAAAAGAAAUGCACAGUUUGACAAAGAUUGCCACUGCAAUACUUGCACUCGCAGUCUGCAUUUUUUCUUCUAGCGAAGUGCUGCCAGAGCCUCGCAGCCAUGUCGUGCCUCUGCAGCAGGGUGAUGGGAAUAACCUUGUGUGGCAGAGCCUGGUGCUCCCAUCAUAGCUCUGUGCAGGUUUCCCAAAUGCUGCAAUCAGGGUGCCUAUGUUUUUCAGUUCCACUUCUCCCUGCAGAACUUGUGUUCCGUGGGGCAGGAGCAGAAGCUCCUCCUGAGCCCAACUGUUCCAUGCUGCUGUACCUGCAUGGAAACACUGCCCCGUGAUGGAGCUCCUGAAGCCUGUUCCUUUACAAUCAGCUCAUAAUAAAACUUUUCAACUUUUCA
rnacentral:lncRNA from 1 species